GAGCCGAUGAAGGACGUGAUAAUCUGCGAAAAGCUGCGGGGAGGAGCAAAUAUCCCUUGAUCCGCAGAUCUCCGAAUGGGGAAACCCACAUGAGAAGACCUCAUGGAUCCAUACGCCAAUCCAUAACGUAUGGAAGGGAACCCGGUGAACUGAAACAUCUAAGUAGCCGGAGGAAAAGAAAGAAAACUCGAUUCCGUCAGUAGCGGCGAGCGAAAGCGGAAGAGCCUAAACCAGCGUGCGUGCAUGCUGGGGUUACGGACUGCAUAAGUUACUGGAACCGAUAGUGGAAUGGUUUUGGGAAAGCCAGCCAGAGAGGGUGAAAGCCCCGUACACGAAAUUGCGACCAGGACAGCAGGAUCCAAAGUACCGCGAGACACGUGGAACCUUGCGGGAAGUCGGGGGGACCACCCCCCAAGGCUAAAUACUCCUUAGUGACCGAUAGCGCAUAGUACUGUGAAGGAAAGGUGAAAAGGACCCCGGGAGGGGAGUGAAAGAGAACCUGAAACCCUGUGUUUACAAGCUGUGGAAGUACUUUAAAUGUACGACCGCGUACUUUUUGUAGAACGGUCCGGCGAGUUACGCUGGCUGGCGAGGUUAAAUCCUAAAGGGAUGGAGCCGAAGGGAAACCAAGUCUUAAGAGGGCGCCAUAGUCAGUCAGAGUAGACCCGAAACCGGGUGAUCUAUCCAUGUCCAGGUUGAAGUUGCCGUAAAAGGCAAUGGAGGACCGAACCCACAUCCGUUGAAAAGGGUGGGGAUGAGGUGUGGAUAGGGGAGAAAUUCCAAUCGAACCCGGAGAUAGCUGGUUCUCCUCGAAAUAGCUUUAGGGCUAGCCUCGACAGAGUCUUGCGGAGGUAGAGCACUGAAUUUCCUAGGGGGCGUCAAAGCUUACCGAAGAAUAUCAAACUCCGAAUGCCGUGUAGAUGCUUGUCGGGAGUCAGACUAUACGAGAUAAGUUGGAUAGUCAAAAGGGAAAGAGCCCAGACCUCCAGCUAAGGUCCCAAAGUGCGUGUUAAGUGGAAAAGGAUGUGGGAUUUCGAAGACAACCAGGAUGUUGGCUCAGAAGCAGCCAUACAUUCAAAGAGUGCGUAAUAGCUCACUGGUCGAGAGGUCCUGCGCCGAAAAUGUCCGGGGCUAAAACACGCCACCGAAGCUGAGGAAUCCGAAAGGAUUGGUAGAGGAGCAUUGCAUAAGGGAAGAAGCAGUACCGGAAGGAGCUGUGGACUUUAUGGAAGAGAGAAUGCCGGAAUGAGUAGCGAGAGUAAGGUGAGAAUCCUUACGGCCGAAUAUCUAAGGUUUCCAGGGUAAAGCUGAUCUGCCCUGGGUAAGUCGGGGCCUAAGGCGAGGGCGAGAGCCGUAGUCGAUGGACAACAGGUUGAGAUUCCUGUACUACAGUAAGACAGAACUGUGGGGACAUAUGUGGAGAGCAUGGGCGCGGAAUGGAAAGCCGCGUGCAAGCGGGGUACCGGUCUGGUAGGCAAAUCCGCCAGAUAACGGGAAUCCGUGAUGCGGACCGAAAAAGAGUAGGGAAGCAUGUGAGCCAUGUAUCAAGAAAAGCCGCUAUUGUUCUUAUUGUACCCGUACCGUAAACCGACACAGGUGGAUGAGGAGAGAAUCCUAAGGCCGACGGAAGAAGCAUUGUCAAGGAACUCGGCAAAAUGACCCCGUAACUUCGGGAGAAGGGGUGCCAGGGGAACCUGGCCGCAGAGAAUAGGCUCAAGCAACUGUUUAGCAAAAACACAGGUCUAUGCGAAACCGAAAGGUGAGGUAUAUGGGCUGACGCCUGCCCGGUGCUGGAAGGUUAAGAGGAGAGGUUAGCGGUAACGCGAAGCUUUGAAUUUAAGCCCCAGUAAACGGCGGCCGUAACUAUAACGGUCCUAAGGUAGCGAAAUUCCUUGUCGGGUAAGUUCCGACUCGCACGAAAGGUGUAAUGAUU
rnacentral:rRNA from 1 species